UUUGAAACAACAUUUCACACCUUAAAUAUUUUGAACACAAGCUUAAAGGGCUUUGUUACUUGCCCGAUUUGCAUUUUAUAAACACUGAAUUCCAAUUAAAUAGUUUAGUGAGAUCGGUGAAAGUUCAUCGCGUGUUUACUCAUGGCGCACACACGCUUUCUUGUCUAUUUUGCGUGUACUUUCAAUUUAGUUUCUGCACAGGUUCUGAAGUAUGCACUCAGGGGUCAAGAAAUAAACUUGGUUCCACCCAGAAUUGAAAAACCUGAUGGAAUGGUCUGGGUACAUGAUGACAGCAACGUGGUCGAGUUUCAUAUCUUCGCGAGGGAAUUAGUGUACCCACCAUACCAGAACAGGAUCACUCUCGACCACAACUCUGCAGAACUCACCAUCAAAGACGCCACAAAUGAAGACAGUGGAAACUACGACUUAAAGUUGAAGAAAAACGAUGAACGUCGCCGUAUAAAAUUUAGAGUUGAGGUUAUAGACAAAGUAACCAAGCCCAACAUAUCCUGUGAGAUGAUCAACGCAAACCAGGCGAUACUUGUGUGCUCAACAGAGUGCAAAUGUCCACAUUUACUAAAGUUUAAGUGGCGCUCACAGGGAAACGAGCAGGCUGGCCCGAACUUAACAAUAACUCUAAACAAUGAACACGAUGAUCAAGUUUAUCAAUGUAAUGUGAGCAACCCGCUGACCAGUGAAACAUCUACAUACACUGCUAAGGACUGCUUCCUCGAAAAAACAUCAGCUGCUGGAAUUUUCAUCUGGGAUGAAAACACAACGGAUUUGUUUGUCUUCACAGUGGUUACGGCGGUCAGCUUCACUGCUGUCCUCACUGCUGGCCUCACUGCUGCUGUCCUCACUGCUGUCUUCAUGUCAGUUAAAAAGUUUCAAUUUUCAGAAUGUUUUGCAAAGCUCAAGGAAAAAUGCUCGAUAAGAAACUGGAGGGACUGAGGAAACCGCUGGAGAAAAUGUCAAGACUCAUGUCAUUGCACUCAUGGAUCGAGGACAACAAUCAUAAAAAGCAAAACCUGGACAGUCGCAUUAUCAAACAAGACAAAAAGCAAUGGCACAUCCUGCCACACUCUGACACACGAACACAAAAGUUACCUCAUUCACUGCCAUUGAUGUUAAAGACCAUGUGAAGUGAUUUCGGUGAUUUGUUUCUUAUUAAUUUAACUAUGUUAGAUAAGUGCUUUUGUAUUUUUUGUAUUUUUUCUUUUUACUAUUGCUCUUGCACUCUCUCUGAGGUACAGGGUUCAAAUCCUCACCUGUGUGGAGUUUGCAUGUUCCCGCUGUGUCUGUGUGGGUUUUGUCUGGGUAACCGACAUUUAAAAAAAAACAUGCAGGGUAGGUUGAUUGAAGACUCUAAAAUGCCCAUAGGUGUGAGUGUGAAUGGUUGUUUGUCAAUAUGUGCCCCUACGAUUGACUGGCGAGCAGUUCAUGGUGGACCCCACGUCCCGCCUAGAGUCAGCUGAGAUAGACCCCAGCACACCCGCGACCCUCAUGAGGAUAAGCAGGUCGAGCUUAUCCUAUAAGAAGGGUCAGCGAAGGCGACUGCCUGAGCAACGAAAUGAAAAUGUGGAAUAUUAUGCACUGACAACUGAUCUAUGGCCAUCAACAAUGACUGGACACUAACUAGCCGACGCCUACAGAUAAGCUACUUUCCUGAAGAGCCAACGGUGACAAACAUGGUCACAGCCCUAAGAGAAGGAAUUCAAUUCUGGGAGCUGCGUGUGACCUCAAGAAAAGGGGACCAAGCUGCAAUGAUACUCUGUUGCCAGUAGGGGGCAGUGUUUAUCAGCUUCUACACAUCAACACGAGCCUCACGUGUAUGAAUUAUUAGCUUCAAAUGAAAUACAUGUACACAUUAACCAACAACAAUAAAUAAUUCAACACUGCCGUUUGACCAAACCAUCUUGUGUGUCUGUAGCCCUUUACAGUGAAAUUUACCAGCACACUAAACCCAACCGUGCACGAAGACGUCAGCUUCCUGACUAUCUUCAAAGUCAAAUCUGGAUCUCUAAACGCUAAAACACAAAUCCGUGGCGUGGGGUGGAAUAAACGUGCGUGACUAAGUACACAAAUGUCGACAUAUUUAGCUCACCCGUGUGCUAUGAUUGGCGUUUAUUAGACGGUAGCGGUCCGGUUUAAUUCCAGACUCUGGUUUAUUGUGAAAAUCGACUGCUCCUGAAAUGCAGGUGUCGCAUUACCUGGGUUGAACUUUUUUUUUUUUUUUUUUUUUUUUGAAACAACAUUUCACACCUUAAAUAUUUUGAACACAAGCUUAAAGGGCUUUGUUACUUGCCCGAUUUGCAUUUUAUAAACACUGAAUUCCAAUUAAAUAGUUUAGUGAGAUCGGUGAAAGUUCAUCGCGUGUUUACUCAUGGCGCACCAACGCUUUCUUGUCUAUUUUGCGUGUACUUUCAGUUUAGGUAAGUUUCGCCGUGAUUUAUGAUAUUGGAGUUGAAAAUCAACAAAGUAUUAUUAGUUAUGUAGCGUCUCGAACUUUGGUGGGUGUACAAACAAUUGUUGUUGUUUCUGGGUGUUGUUGAUAAAUGGCUUUCGCUUUUCAUAGUUGAGUUUCAAGUUGCACUUAACGGAUGAAGGUGCAACUUGAAAGUCGGAAGGAAGGAAGUCGGAAUUCGAUCAAUCUGAUGUGUCUAUAGUGCAUUCUUUUCAUCUAUCUGCCUAUCUAUCUCCUUCAUAGUUUCUCCACAGGUUCUGAAGUAUGUACUCAGGGGUCAAGAAAUAAACUUGGUUCCACCCAGAAUUGAAAAACCUGAUGGAAUGGUCUGGGUACAUGAUGACAGCAACGUGGUCGAGUUUCAUAUCUUCGCGAGGGAAUUAGUGUACCCACCAUACCAGAACAGGAUCACUCUCGACCACAACUCUGCAGAACUCACCAUCAAAGACGCCACAAAUGAAGACAGUGGAAACUACGACUUAAAGUUGAAGAAAAACGAUGAACGUCGCCGUAUAAAAUUUAGAGUUGAGGUUAUAGACAAAGUAACCAAGCCCAACAUAUCCUGUGAGAUGAUCAACGCAAACCAGGCGAUACUUGUGUGCUCAACAGAGUGCAAAUGUCCACAUUUACUAAAGUUUAAGUGGCGCUCACAGGGAAACGAGCAGGCUGGCCCGAACUUAACAAUAACUCUAAACAAUGAACACGAUGAUCAAGUUUAUCAAUGUAAUGUGAGCAACCCGCUGACCAGUGAAACAUCUACAUACACUGCUAAGGACUGCUUCCUCG